rnacentral:rRNA from 1 species
UAGGGAAUCUUCGGCAAUGGACGGAAGUCUGACCGAGCAACGCCGCGUGAGUGAAGAAGGUUUUCGGAUCGUAAAGCUCUGUUGUAAGAGAAGAACGAGUGUGAGAGUGGAAAGUUCACACUGUGACGGUAUCUUACCAGAAAGGGACGGCUAACUACGUGCCAGCAGCCGCGGUAAUACGUAGGUCCCGAGCGUUGUCCGGAUUUAUUGGGCGUAAAGCGAGCGCAGGCGGUUAGAUAAGUCUGAAGUUAAAGGCUGUGGCUUAACCAUAGUAGGCUUUGGAAACUGUUUAACUUGAGUGCAAGAGGGGAGAGUGGAAUUCCAUGUGUAGCGGUGAAAUGCGUAGAUAUAUGGAGGAACACCGGUGGCGAAAGCGGCUCUCUGGCUUGUAACUGACGCUGAGGCUCGAAAGCGUGGGGAGCAAACAGGAUUAGAUACCCUGGUAGUCCACGCUGUAAACGAUGAGUGCUAGGUGUUAGACCCUUUCCGGGGUUUAGUGCCGUAGCUAACGCAUUAAGCACUCCGCCUGGGGAGUACGACCCGCAAGGUUG